GAGGCACUACGGUGCUGAAGCAACAAAUGCCCUGCUUCCAGGAAAAGCCUCUAAGCAUCAGGUAACACGAAAUCGUACCCCAAACCGACACAGGUGGUCAGGUAGAGAAUACCAAGGCGCUUGAGAGAACUCGGGUGAAGGAACUAGGCAAAAUGGUGCCGUAACUUCGGGAGAAGGCACGCUGACACGUAGGUGAAGUGAUUUACUCAUGGAGCUGAAGUCAGUCGAAGAUACCAGCUGGCUGCAACUGUUUAUUAAAAACACAGCACUGUGCAAACACGAAAGUGGACGUAUACGGUGUGACGCCUGCCCGGUGCCGGAAGGUUAAUUGAUGGGGUCAGCGCAAGCGAAGCUCCUGAUCGAAGCCCCGGUAAACGGCGGCCGUAACUAUAACGGUCCUAAGGUAGCGAAAUUCCUUGUCGGGUAAGUUCCGACCUGCACGAAUGGCGUAAUGAUGGCCAGGCUGUCUCCACCCGAGACUCAGUGAAAUUGAACUCGCUGUGAAGAUGCAGUGUACCCGCGGCAAGACGGAAAGACCCCGUGAACCUUUACUAUAGCUUGACACUGAACAUUGAGCCUUGAUGUGUAGGAUAGGUGGGAGGCUUUGAAGUGUGGACGCCAGUCUGCAUGGAGCCGACCUUGAAAUACCACCCUUUAAUGUUUGAUGUUCUAACGUGGACCCGUAAUCCGGGUUGCGGACAGUGUCUGGUGGGUAGUUUGACUGGGGCGGUCUCCUCCUAAAGAGUAACGGAGGAGCACGAAGGUUGGCUAAUCCUGGUCGGACAUCAGGAGGUUAGUGCAAUGGCAUAAGCCAGCUUGACUGCGAGCGUGACGGCGCGAGCAGGUGCGAAAGCAGGUCAUAGUGAUCCGGUGGUUCUGAAUGGAAGGGCCAUCGCUCAACGGAUAAAAGGUACUCCGGGGAUAACAGGCUGAUACCGCCCAAGAGUUCAUAUCGACGGCGGUGUUUGGCACCUCGAUGUCGGCUCAUCACAUCCUGGGGCUGAAGUAGGUCCCAAGGGUAUGGCUGUUCGCCAUUUAAAGUGGUACGCGAGCUGGGUUUAGAACGUCGUGAGACAGUUCGGUCCCUAUCUGCCGUGGGCGCUGGAGAACUGAGGGGGGCUGCUCCUAGUACGAGAGGACCGGAGUGGACGCAUCACUGGUGUUCGGGUUGUCAUGCCAAUGGCACUGCCCGGUAGCUAAAUGCGGAAGAGAUAAGUGCUGAAAGCAUCUAAGCACGAAACUUGCCCCGAGAUGAGUUCUCCCUGAGACUUAGAGUCUCCUGAAGGAACGUUGAAGACGAC
rnacentral:rRNA from 1 species